rnacentral:rRNA from 1 species
CGACUGAGCGGCGGACGGGUGAGUAACGCGUGGGCAACCUGCCCCAUACAGGGGGACAACGGCCGGAAACGGCCGCUAAUACCGCAUGAUUCCCCUUGGCCGCAUGGCCGGGAGGGGAAAGCCGAGACGGUAUGGGAUGGACCCGCGUCUGAUUAGCUGGUUGGCGAGGUAACGGCUCACCAAGGCGACGAUCAGUAGCCGGCCUGAGAGGGCGACCGGCCACAUUGGGACUGAGACACGGCCCAAACUCCUACGGGAGGCAGCAG